UUGUGUCUCACCACCACUGAGCUGACACCUACAAAGAGGCUGGGGAUGAUACAUAGAGGCAGAUAUACUGGGUGUUGGAAUUUGCCUAAGGAGAGACAUGCAGACUGGAGGGUGGAGGACACAGCAUAAUGGCUAUGCAAGAAAAAACCUCUUAUGCUUGAGGUUCCCAAGUCCCAGAUUCAAUCCCCUGCACCAACAUUAGCCAGAGCUGAGCAGGGCUCUGAAAAAAAAAAAAAAAAAGUGAAGCAGGCUGGUGCAUAUCAGCUGUCAGGAUUGCCAGAAAGCCACUGCCUGCAAGACCCUCACCAGUGCCAGGUGAGCUAGUCAUGAAGGAAAGUCAACAGCACAGAAACCCUUGACCAGAUAUAAUCCAUGAGGGGAGAAGGACUGGAGAAGGCUCUAAGACCCAAGGCCUCCAUCCAGCUCUUAGUGGGGUGAGGUUACGGAACCCAGCCCUUAUGCCCUUUUCUGGAAGGAAUGAGUUUGUAACAGCAGCAGCAGCAACAACAACAAUGGAAAAAAGAUUGCCAGGAGCAGUGGAUUCAUAGUGUGGGUACCGAGCCCCAGGAUAACCCUGGAGGCAAAAAAAAAUCUUGAAAGUUUUGGGGCUUGAAAAUAAGUUUCCCUCCUAAAUUAACUUUCCUUCAGCACUUCUGUGUUUUUUUGUUUUGUUACUUCUGCUCAGCUCUGGUAUAUGGUGUUGUUGGGGAUUGAACCUGAGAACUCAGAGCCUCAGACAUGAGUCUUUUUGUAUAACCAUUAUGCUGUCUCCACGGCACCCCCCCCCCCAGGUAUUUUUCUAAUAAAUUUCCUUGACACUU